rnacentral:rRNA from 1 species
GUGCCAGCAGCCGCGGUAAUUCCAGCUCCAAUAGCGUAUAUUAAAGUUGCUGCGUUUAAAAAGCUCGUAGUUGGAUCUCGGUUCCAGGCUUGCGGUCCGCCUCGAGGUGGAUACUGCUCGUCCUGUGUUCGACGUCGUGGUGGUUCCUUGGUGCUCUUGACUGAGUGUCUCGGACGGUCCCGAACGUUUACUUUGAAAAAAUUAGAGUGCUCAAAGCAGGCGUAUCGCCUGAAUAAUUCCGCAUGGAAUAAUGGAAUAGGACCUCGGUUCCAGUUUCGUUGGUUUGCGAAUCCUUGAGGUAAUGAUUAAUAGGGACUGCCGGGGGCAUACGUAUUGCGGCGGGAGAGGUGAAAUUCGUGGAUCGCCGCAAGACGAACGACAGCGAAAGCAUUUGCCAAGAAUGUUCUCAUUAAUCAAGAACGAAAGUCAGAGGUUCGAAG